AUUGAACGCUGGCGGCAUGCUUUACACAUGCAAGUCGAACGGUAACAGGUUAAGCUGACGAGUGGCGAACGGGUGAGUAAUGCAUCGGAACGUGCCCGAUCGUGGGGGAUAACGCAGCGAAAGCUGCGCUAAUACCGCAUACGAUCUGAAGAUAAAAACGGGGGACCGUAAGGCCUCGCGCGAUCGGAGCGGCCGAUGUCAGAUUAGGUAGUUGGUGGGGUAAAGGCCCACCAAGCCGACGAUCUGUAGCUGGUCUGAGAGGACGACCAGCCACACUGGGACUGAGACACGGCCCAGACUCCUACGGGAGGCAGCAGUGGGGAAUUUUGGACAAUGGGCGAAAGCCUGAUCCAGCAAUGCCGCGUGCAGGAAGAAGGCCUUCGGGUUGUAAACUGCUUUUGUACGGAGCGAAAAGGUCCUUUCUAAUACAAGGGGCUCAUGACGGUACCGUAAGAAUAAGCACCGGCUAACUACGUGCCAGCAGCCGCGGUAA
rnacentral:rRNA from 1 species